rnacentral:lncRNA from 1 species
AGAAAUGAUUGACAAGAAUAUGCAGUGUGUAUCAUCCAUACUUGAAUUGGCUCUGAAAUGCUCUGCGGACUCUCCCGGGGAUAGAAUCAACAUGAAACAAGCACAUGCAGAGUUGCAGAAAAUCAAACAUCGAUUUUUCCAAUGAGAUUCAAGUAAGCUAUUUCAAUGUUCUAUGUUACUUCUAAGAUAAUAUUGUUCUAUUACGAUUUACUUAUUUUCCCAAUGAUAUUCGUGUUUCACAUAUCUUUCGUGAAGGGAACCAAGUUGCCGACAUUAUGGCAAAUCCAAAUGCUCCGACUGGUUGGUGGAUGACAUAGAGAACGGAAAAUUUGGCCUGGUCCUUUUGUUGAUUUUUGCUAUCAUUGCUAAUUCAGUUCUUCUUGUUUCUACUUUUUGUUCUUGUUGUAAUAGACUAGUACUCUUUUUUCUUUAAUAGUGAUUUUCCCAUUAGAUUUUCGCCAUAAAGGUUUUAAUGAUGUUCGACCCUUAGUUAGUGUCUUUGUGCUUUCAGUGUUUGCUAGGUUUUCUUUUUCUUUUUUCUCCUUUUGUAUAAUUUCUAUUUCAACAACUGAUGCUCAAUCUCUACAUAUUUUAUGUUCUUGAGUUUACAUACAAUCUUCUUUGUCACAGCUUAAAAGGUGAAAUCUUUCUGAACAACGCCUCUGGCCUCCUCGACCAUUCUCACCAACUAAAACAACCCCUCUCAAAAGAGUUCUGAAAAUUUUGAUAUUCCGUUCGCAGCCGAACUUGAUCAAGCUGCCCAGAAGCUCAAACCCGAUCUUCACACGGCAUAGAAGGUAGCAGCAAUUGAUUGUGACACUCAUCGAGCACACUUUCAAUUCGACGUCCCAUUGGCGCAUUUCGUCGAACAUGUAGAGGGCAGCUCGGUAUUUCCCCCCAACUUUACCCUGUAACUCAACAAUUUGUUAUGCGACUAUAUAUCCAAUCAAACAGCCUCUUUUCCCCAUCGAGAUUACUAAAAUAUACAUGAUUGGAUAACAAUAUUUUGGUGGGCAUAUGAACUAUAAGAUUACUUAUAAUCAUAAGGAUGCUUCGUCAUAUUUUACUUUCUAGUUAUUCCAGAGAUGCCGCGCAGGUCAUAUGCUCACUUUGUAACACUAAACGUGGGUUUUUAGUAUUAAUUUGGAGCUUCCAUUGUUCGUGAGUUUUUCUUGUUUUUUUUUAUUGAAUGUUUUUUUUUUUUGCCAAUUCUGAUGCAUAUGCUAUUGAUAUGCGAUAGGUCUCACUUCUCACAACUAAUGUUGGCCCAACAAUUUCCCGUUGAAAAUAUGUUAAGACUGUGAAACAUAAAUUUAUAUAUUUAUUUGCAGAGGACCAUUUCCACCAAACCUUUUUAAUAAAGGGGCCAAAUUAAAUGGGUGUUUGGCUAAGUUUAUUUUAAAAAAUUUAUAAGUUUUUGGAGCUUAUAAGAUACUUGAAGAGCUUAUAAUUUAUAAAUUGUCAAAAUAUUUGAGUAAUUGAAUUUACACAAAAACUUGGGUACAACUAGAUGUAUCGUACAAUUGGGUUGCACCUGCACUCAGAUCCUGACCCCCCUGACCCUAAUCCGCAUCAUGAUUCAAAUCGUGUAAAUCACACUAUUCUGAGUGCGGGUGCAACCCGGUUAUACCCAAGACCACCUCUUGAAUUUAUAAGUUAGUUAAAGAGAGAAUUUUUAGUUAGAGAGAUAAAAAUUGAAGAGAGAUGAACUUGAGAGAGCGUAUGAUAAAAAUAAAAAGUUAUAGUUAAAAAAUAACUUAUAAAUUAUUUAUAAAUUGUUGGAGCUUAUUUUUAGAGUUUAUAAGUUGUUUAAUAACUUAUUUUGUCAUUAUGAAAAAAUAGGUUAAGGUAGAGGAACUUAUUUUUAAGAGAAUUUAUAAAUUAUUGGAACCAGGGGCGGAUGUAUGCUAUGGCUGCACUGGGCUCCAGCCCAGUGCAAAGCCCAAAUUUUUUCUAUAUAUAUAUAUAAUAUAUAAUACCAAGCCCACCUCAUAGAUUACCCAUAGCCCAGCCCAACUAUCUAAAGAAAACAUAAAAACAUUCUAACCUAUGUCAAAGACUCAAAAGUGACGCACACAGUAGAAAAAAAAUCAGAAAAUAACGUCUCUCUCUCCUGAGCAAUUGCAAAGCAAUAAUUUCUCCUAUUGUGGCUGUGGAGAAUUGAACUUCCAAUUUAUUUACUUAUUCUCGUCUCAUAUUAUUCAAGGUAUGUAAAUUCAAGAACCCUAAAUUAGAAUUCAUAUUAAAAUUAAGUUUAUUUUUGUUGAAUUUUACUGAUGAAAUUGAAACUUGAAAUAGAGGUAGAAGAAUUUCUUAUCUUUUAUUUGAAACUCACCUGUAAAUUGCAAUUAAUAUUUUAAAUAUAUAAAAAUAAAUGUAAUAAAAUUCUUAAUGUUUUUUUAUAUCUUGCAGUUCUUCAAUAAUUUAAAUGGAGCAUCAACAUAUUGCAAAGAAAGGAAAAGGACUUAUAUCAUUCUUUCUUUAAGAACGUGAUCGUCAAGAUACUCAAGACAAUGGAGAUAGCUUGGAACCUUCAAAUUCAACCAUGGCCGCUGGAAAUCAAACUAAUCAAUCUCCUUCACUUGAAUCACCUCCUAUGGAGCAAAAUUCAGUUACAUGUAUUGAGCGUGAUCCGGGUAAAAGGAAACAAUUGUGUGAAUAUUCUGUUAAUGCACGAGAUGAUAUAAGACGUGCAUAUCUAAAAGCUGGGCCUUAUCAACCGAAAAUGGAAGCGUAUCCUGUUACAAAGUUUGGCACUCAAAAUCGUAGCUUUCAGAAGAGAUGGUUUGAUAAGUUUCAUUGGCUGGAGUAUUCGCUUUCCACAAAUAAGGCAUAUUGUUUCUAUUGCUUUCUUUUCAUCAGUGAAGUUAAUCUGCCUGGCUCUUCUGCAUUAGUCAAGGAAGGAUUUGACAAUUGGAAAAGAAUAAAUCAAGGAAAAAAUUGUGCAUUCCUUACUCAUGUUGGUUCUGCAGCUACAUCACCACAUACUAUGUGUUUAAGACGUGCAGAAGAUUUGAUGAGACCAGUUGGGCAUAUAGACAAAGUGAUGCAUUCUCAAACGAUUAUUGAGAAGGAGAGGAAUCGACUGCGCUUGAAGACCUCGAUCACAAGCCUCCGAUGGCUUGCACUUCAAGGUUGUGCUUUUAGAGGUCAUGAUGAGUCUUCAUCUUCAUCGANCCGUGGCCGCCUGUUUCGCCUGAAUCGGAGUUCUGUGGAGGAAGUUAUGGCCGUUCUCCCGAAACUGCCGGAACUUGAUUUCCUGCGAAAAUCUGACUCCAGCUCCUCACGUUUCCUGCGCCCCACAGCUCUCCAAAACCCGACUAAAAUUUACGGUUGGCUUCGAGUUUCUAUGUCUCCUUUAGAGUUUGUAAAUUGAUCUCAUAUUUAUACUAGUCUUUAAAGAGUUCUAGUUCUAAUAGGAAACAAAAAAAUAAUACUAAUAAUAAUAAUAAUAAUAGUCUAGCUAAAAUUAAUGGUGCAUAUCUAUAUGUAUCAUGUAAUUAUUUAAAAAAAAUAAUAAGCUAGACAAGAAAAUACUAUUAAUUAAACUUAUAAAAUAAAUCUAAAUUAUCGGGGCUCCCAUUCCGUCGGAAAUCGCUGCCGCAAUAUCCGGUGAACCCGCCGCCUGGCUUUUCUCGAUGAGGAGUCGCCUAGCUUUUCUCGAUAAGGAGUCGCCUCUUUCUCUCAAAUCCGGCGAAAUCCGGUGAUAAAGGCUGACGAUGCCCGUCGCCAUCUACACUAUCGGCGUGCUGUUGAAGAAGGACGCCUCCAAAUCAGAGACCAUGGCCAACAUGAUCUCGAUCUCGAUUGGGGUCACGAUCACCGCCUACGACGAGGCGAAGUUCGAUUCGUUGGGGGUGAUUCUGCAAUUGGGGGGCGGCGACGUUCGAGGGAGAAUUCGAGUUUUCAUUUCGAUUAUGUGAUUUUGGGGAGCAAUGACGCCGAUUUGGAAUUACCGAUUUGGGGCUUGGGAACUUGAUUUCGUGAUUUUCCUCAUCUGACGGCGAUUGACGCCGAAAAAGUUGGUCGGAGAAGAUGAGAUGUGAUUUUUUUUAAUGAACGGUGUGCAGAUUAGCCCCCGAACUCCAAAAAGGGAAAAUGUGCAGAUUAGCCCCUGAACUCCAAAAAAACGGUGCAGAUCGCCCCCUUUGACUAACGGCCCAUAACGGUGUUAAGUCAGAGGGGGCGAUCUGCACCAUUUUUUUGAGUUCGAGGGCCAAUCUGCACACACAGUUAGUAAGGGGACUGAAACGCUCUAAGGGCCUCCACUUGAUAGGGGCCUAUCUGCACCUUAACCCUUCACAAAUUUAAGAAAAGUUGUAACUCUCUCUAGGAGAAUAUAUAAGUUUUAAGCCCCUCAAGCACGUGCCUAUUAAACAAUCUUAUAAAUUGAAAAUUAAAUCAAACUUGAAUUUUUUCAAUGUAUCAAACUCGAAUACUUUAAUAUGAAAUUUGAUAUGAUCCUACUUACACAGUUACACACAAUUCUAUUGCAUCCCUAAUUACUAUUUUUUUUUUUCCUUUCUAAACAAAUCUCAAGGAGUUCGAGGGUUUGUUAAAGUGGAUCAUUAACAAAAAUAUAAAGUAUUAUACACACCCCGAAAAAAAGUAUUAUGACACAUACAGUAUUCUUAUUGAGUUGAAUUAUAAAUUGGGCACAGAAAAAGAAAGAGAAAUGAAUUUUUUUUUUUUGAAUUAAGAUUAAGUAUGAAAUUUAACUUGAAUUAAGAUGAAAAAUUAAACUGUUAAAAAUUUAAUUGAAGAAUCUAAUCAGAGUUGAAAUUACUGCCAUCGAAAGUCAAUUUGGGAUUAAGGAAUUUCAAAAGUGACAUUAGCACUACCCCUAUAAAUUUACUUUUAUUCCACUUACACCUAUUUUAACAAUUUUUUUAAAAUCCGUGAGAAACCCCAAAUAAAACUAUUUUUCGUGGACAGAGGGAGUAUAAUCUAACGAAAUAAUAAUAAUAAUAAUAAUAAUAAUAAUAAUAAUAAUAAUAAUAAUAAUAAUAAUAAUAAUAAUAAUAAUAAUAAUAAUAAUAAUAAUAAUAAUAAUAAUAAUAAUUCCCGAACCCGAAUAGAAGUAGUGGAUCUCCUUGAGAGACGUCCCUAGAUUAUUAAGUGUUAGAAACAAAAAUAUUUUAUGAUUUUCAAAAACUUAUUUUAUACUUGUAAUACCUCGAUUUUGCCUCAACAAGAUUUUUAGAGGAGUCAUUGAUUAAGUUGGUUCGCACCCCGGAGAAAAAUUGUUUUAAUUCCAAUAAAUGAUUUGUUAAAGUUUUAAAGCAAAUAACCAAACUUUGUACUUUGCAUAAUUUCAAUAAUAUUAUAUGAGUGUGAUUUAAAGUUUUCAUAUGAAUAUCACCUGAGUUUCAAAUGAUGGAUCUUCAAGUCCAUUUAUUUUUGAAGUUGGGCUGAACCUAAUUGAUUGCUACUUUUAAAAGUAUUUCGGCUAAAUUCUUUUAAGCCCAUUACAUGUAUUAUUACGCAUAUUUAUACAACUACUUUCAAUCACUACAUUCUAUAUUCUUCACGAGAAAAUUCUGAUCUCUUGUGUAUAUACAAGAGCACACCAUAUUGCACAUAACAUCUUUAAGUUUUUUUUUCUCUUUUAAGAAUUUUCAAAAUUUGACUUUUAUGUUGGGCCCCUAUCUAUUUAAUUUUGUUUGGGCUCUUAUUUACUAAAUGGGCUUCAUUUCUUUUAAGAUUGGGCCGAUUUGUUUUAACAUCUUUAUUUGUUGGGUUUGCCCAUUUAAUUUAUUAAUUGAACCAAUGACUGGUUAAUUUGGAUUCUGAUUUAAUUAAUUAAAUUUCUCAUUAAUUAUUUCUGUCCAAGUGUUAUUAUAUGCAUAUAUUGUUUUAUUAUAUGUUUUAAUUUAUAUACUAAAGUCUUACCAAUUUAUGGAAGAAAAAUAUUUUUUAAGUUGAUUUUAUGCUCAAGUUUUAUUUGGAACCCUUAGCAAAGAAAAUCAAUUUCAAAUUUUAUUUUGAAAAUCCGAAUGUUGCGAAUCUAGUUAGAAAGUGAUGACAAGUUAUGAAGGCUAAGGCUGAUUUUAGGACUACAACUUAAUUAAGUUGAGAACUUAUCUUGCAGGUCCUAUAGAAGAAGAUAUUUAGGUUUCCGAUCAAGCCCGGCCCUAUUAAAUUGUUUGGAUUGUCUCCAAAUCAGGUGAGGCUUUAUUUAUGAAAUGUAUGUUUAAGCUAAUAAGCUCGGUUUUAUGAAAAGUUAAAGUUGAUGGUUCAUGCUUAAAAUAUUUUUGCUCUCUAUUGAUUAUUGCUUCUUUAGUGCCGGUGUCUCUCCUGUUGAAGUUACCACAAAUCUAAACCCGGGUGGCUGUUGAAGUUACCACAUUGAAUGAGGCCUUGUUGUAGAUCUGAUUGAUUUUGAGUGAGUGAGUUUGCUGUUGAGAAUAACUGAGGUGUAGCAUGAAUUUUGAUUUUUCUCUUGCUGAAUACCUUAGUUUAGAUGAGAUUUUCAUGCAUUUUGUUUAGUGUAUGUUACUUAAUAUGCACCACAUAUAUAUAUGUAUUUAGCUAUUGAAUUUUGUGUAAAAUGUAGUAUUUCAUAUGCUGUAAUAUAUUUACAAAAAUGUGUAUACUUAAUAUUAAGAAAUGUGAAUAUUUUAGUAUUUAGUCAUUGUGUGCCUGGAAAACAACGUUCAGUUUGUAAAUUUGCAGAUGAGAUCCUCUGUCCCACUAUUUUGUGUGUACCACUCUUAAUUUAUCUAUUUUAUAAUUAUUUUUUAUAAAAAUAAAAAAUAUUAUUAUAAACCCUAAUUGGAUGAGUGAACCCUUGUUAAUUAUAUUUUUAUAAUAUUAAAGUAUAAUAAAUUAAAAUUGAAGAAAAUAUAAUUAAAAAUUAUAAAUAAAUUAAGAGUGGUACACACAAAAUAGUGGUACCUUAUAAUUUGAAUCCACUUUUAAUAUUUUAUUUUUAUCUCUUCGACCAGUAAUUGUCAACCUAAUGGUAGUACCCUUCCCAUUUUCAUUUUGGAUUUUUAUUGUAUUGAUAAUUAGUUAGUCAAAUUGAAUUAGUCAUGAUAAUUUGUAAAGUAUAAAAUACUCUGAUAAUUUGUGCAAAUCACAUGAUUUGCAGCCAAUCGAAACUGUAAUAAUUUAUUUAUUAAUGGUGCAUUUUAUAAUUUUUUGGUACUGGGAUUGAAUAUACUGGCCUUGACGUAUGAACUAAUUUCACACAAUACCCAUCGACUAAUUAUUUAUUUUAUUUAUGUUGUUGGCAUACAGUUAAAUUAUUUAUUAAGAUACAUGUAAUGUGUGAAUUCUAAUAAUUUGUCAUAUUUUAAAAAGUAAUUUGCACCAAACUUUAUGAAUGCAUGCAAAUUCAAUGUUAUGAUUCGUAAGUUUGAAAUUCUGGCCAUUGCAAUCCAUGUGUAAUCCAUGUGUAGUUGAAUAAAAUUAUUCAAGAAUUUGUCUCAACCUCAAGUCUUCGUCUCAGUCUCUAUAAGUGAUUGGGGCCGACAUCUAAGGACGACUUGACUCAAACGGAAAAAACGUACAAAAAACAAAAAACACAUCAAAAGCCACACCCAUCAAGACUCUCAACUCUUGUAAUAUUUGUUUAUAUAUAUGAUGAUGAUUAUUGGAUGCAGUUAUUAGCGACUUCAUUGUCACAAUACAAUCACAAUUAAUUUGCAGCCAUGGAGAAAAAGCUUUAUUGCAUUUUGCCUUAUGCAUUCCUAAUCACCAUAACCUUCCCAAUGCUUUCUUCUGAAGCCAAAGCCAAACAACCUCUGAGCCUUGCAACUGAUCAAACUGCCCUUCUUUCACUCAAACAUACAUCUCUUUUACUUGCAACUAAUUGGACCAACUCCACCUCCGUCUGCACCUGGAUUGGCGUCACUUGCAGCUUCCGCCACCACAGAGUAGCUGCCUUGAAUCUCUCCAACAUGGCUCUCUCCGCCACCAUUCCUCCACAGCUCGGACACCUCUCCUUCCUCAUCUCCCUCGACCUCUCCAACAACCUUUUCUAUGGAGAUUUCCCACACGAAUUGUCUCUCCUUCGCCGUUUGAAGUUCAUAUCUUUCCGACUCAACCACUUCGCCGGAGACAUCCCUCCGAUGUUGGGUCAGUUACCAAAAUUAGAGUACUUGUCUUUACGGAACAACAGCUUCAUAGGUUCCAUCCCAAAAUCGCUCUCAAACCUCACAAACCUACAAUUUCUUGACUUAUCAUUCAAUUCUCUAAGUAGAGAAAUUCCAAAAGAGUUGGGAAGACUUCAAAGUCUACAAACUCUGAAUGUUCAAUUCAAUCAUUUGUCGGGUGCUAUACCAUCAGCCAUAUUCAACAUCUCGACCCUUGUAGCUAUAGCAUUGUCAUACAAUGAAUUGAGUGGAAGUCUUCCAACAGACAUGUGCCGUAAUCUUCCAUUUCUUGUUGGGAUUUAUCUUUCUUACAAUCAGCUGAGUGGCGCGAUUCCCACAAAUCUAUCCCAAUGUUCACGGCUUGAGGGGUUAAAUCUUGGUGGUAACAAUUUGAAUGGUAUGGUUGAAGUUCUUAUCACAUAAAUUUGUGUAAAUGAGAUUUGAUUAGUUUCAUGACACUUUUUUUUGCCAGGAAUACUACCACAUGAGAUUGGCCAUCUUCAGAGUCUGGUUACUUUUGCUGCUGAACGGAAUGAGAUUGCAGGCUCAAUUGAUUUCAGUAUUUUCAUGAAUAUGUCUUCUCUGCAAACCUUAAUACUAUGGCGUAACAAAUUCACGGGGAACCUUUCAAGGGAUGUCGGGAAUAUUACCAUGCUAACAGAGUUACAGCUCGAUGAAAACCAUUUCACAGGUACAACAGAGUAAUUUUCAUGUAAAUUGUCUGUUUAGCUACAAUAUGUGUUUUUAGUUACAGUUUUGAAAUCUCAUCUUUUGCAGGNGCACUAGCACGUAACAAAUUCACGGGGAACAUUCCCUCAAAUCUAUCCCAAUGUUCACAGCUUGAAGUGUUGAGCCUCUCUGGAAACUCUUUUAGUGGGGAGAUACCUUCAGAAAUCGGCUACUUAACAUCUCUUCGGGAGUUAUAUCUUGGUGCUAACAAUUUGAAUGGUAUAUAUGGUUCAAGUUCUUAUCACAUAAAUUUGUGUAAAUGAGAUUUUAUUAGUUUCAUGACACUUUUUUUGCCAGGAAUACUACCACAUGAGAUUGGCCAUCUUCAGAGUCUGGUUGAGUUUGCUGUUGAAUGGAAUGAGAUUGCGGGCUCAAUUGAUUUCAAUAUUUUCAUGAAUAUGUCUUCUCUGCAAACCUUAGCACUAGGGCGCAACAAAUUCACGGGGAACCUUUCAAGGGAUGUCGGGAAUAUUACCAUGCUAACAGAGUUAGAGCUCUAUGAAAACCAUUUUACAGGUACAACGGAGUAAUUUUCAUGUAAAUUGUCUGUUUAGCUACAAUAUGUGUUUUUGAAAUCUCAUGUUUUGCAGGGCUUAUUCCCUCUGAAUUUGGCCAACUUUACCAUUUGGAGAUAUUAUCAUUAUCAUCGAACAUCGUUAGUGGUUCGAUUCCACAUGAGCUCUUUAACAUUUCAACACUUCGAAUUCUUUCACUUGUCGACAAUCCUCUGUCAGGGGUUCUUCCAACCCAUUUAUGCCACGCCUCUCCCUUUCUUGAACGACUUUAUCUUGGCCGAAAUUCCAUGAGUGGAGAAAUACCCAACUCCAUCUCUAACUGUUCUCAACUCACAAUUCUCGCACUUGGUGAAAACAAAUUCAGUGGUUAUAUACCUACUCAUCUCGGCAACCUAAGACUUCUCCAAAUUCUUGAACUGUCCAGCAACAAUCUUACCCAGGCACCAUCUUCUUCCUUCAUUACUUCAUUGACAAAUUGCAGGUCUCUAACUCUUUUGUCAAUUGCUGAUAAUCCUCUAAAUGGUGUCAUUCCAGCUUCUCUCGGGAACUUAUCUUCCUCACUCGAAAUAUUCGCUGCCGAGAACUGCAAAUUCAGUGGCAGCAUUCCUGCUGAAAUAGGCAAUCUAAGCAAUUUGAUGACAUUGGAGUUGUCAGCAAAUGAGUUAUCUGGUAAUAUUCCACUAACUAUAAGCCAUUUGCAUGAACUUCAAGGAUUAAAUCUGUCUCGUAACAUGUUGGGAGGCUCAAUACCACAUGCUAUAUGUGAUCUAUUCAGCCUCGAUACUUUAGAUAUGAGCCAUAAUCAAUUUUCAGGCCCAAUUCCUAAAUGUCUGGGAAAUGUCUCUUCUUUAAGAAAUCUUCAUCUAGACUCCAACAUGUUGAAUUCAAGCAUACCUUCAAGCUUAUGGGGCCUAAAAGAUUUGAACUCUCUAGACUUGUCCUCAAAUUCAUUAAAUGGGUUCUUACCACAAGAGAUAAGUAACUUAGGAGCAGCAAUACAUAUAAACCUAUCGAUGAAUCAGUUGUCAAAGUCUAUUCCUAGCACUAUUGGGAAGUUGCAGAAUUUGAUUAAUCUGUCUUUGGCAAAUAAUAGACUAGAAGGUUCUAUUCCUGUGUCUAUGGGAAGCAUGAUCAGUUUGGCAAAUCUCGACUUGUCGUACAACAACCUCUCUGGUUCAAUUCCAAAGUCUUUAGAAGCACUUCAACACCUCGACUACUUUAAUGUCUCUUUCAAUAGUUUAAGUGGAGAAAUUCCUAAUGGAGGUUCUUUUAGAAACUUCACUACGGAUUGUUUUAAGGGUAAUGAGGCAUUGUGUGGAAUCCCCAAGUUCCAUGUCCAAAUUUGCUCUUCAAUUUCUAAUCACAGAUCAAAGAGAAAGAAGGUGGAACGAGCUUCAUUUAUUGUUUUCGGGGUUGUGGCUUUCAUCUCAGUUGUUUCUUUGGCCUUUAUAAUUGUCAAAAACAAAAGGAAAGAUAAGACGACUAGCAGAGAAGUUGAUGAGUUGAUAUUCAUUGUGCCGGAAAGAAUCUCUUAUUAUGAACUGCUGCAAGCAACGGAAAGAUUCGAUGAAAGCAAUUUACUUGGCACUGGGAGUUCUUGCUCUGUUUAUAAAGGAAUUCUUAACAAUGGGAAGGAUAUCGUUGUCAAGGUGUUUAAUAUGCAGCUAGAAGGUAUUUCAAGAAUAUUUGAUGUCGAAUGUGAGAUACUACGUAGCAUUCGACACAGGAAUCUGACAAGCGUCAUAAGCAGUUGCUCCAAUGAAGAGUUCAAGGCAUUAGUACUUGAAUAUAUGCCAAAGGGAAACCUUGAAAAAUGGUUAUAUUCCCACAACUAUUGCUUGAAUAUGAUGGAAAGAUUGAAUAUAAUGAUUGAUGUUGCAUCUGCUUUGGAGUAUCUUCACCACGGUUAUUCAAUGCCCAUUGUCCACAGCGACUUGAAGCCUAGUAAUGUGCUGUUAGAUGAAGACAUGGUUGCCCAUGUAAGCGACUUUGGGAUAGCAAAGUUGUUAUGCGAUGGAGAUAGCUUUGUGUUAACCAACACGCUAGCAACAUUGGGUUACAUCGCUCCAGGUGAAGUUUCUCUAAAUAUAUUGAUUGCACUUCACUUUCAAUCAAUUAAUUGUGUCUUCCUAACUCAUACAUCAUGAUUUUGUUGUUCCAGAGUAUGGCUUGGAAGGGCAAGUUUCAACAAGGUGUGAUGUGUAUAGCUACGGGGUGAUGUUGAUUGAAACUUUUACGAGAAAAAGGCCUAGUGAUGAUAUGUUUUGCGGAGAUAUGAGCUUAAAGAGAUGGGUAGAACUCUCACUUUCGGAGAACCCAGAUGAAGUGAUAGAUGCCAACUUAGUCAUGAAUUUGGAGGAAGAAAUGAUUGACAAGAAUAUGCAGUGUGUGUCAUCCAUACUUGAAUUGGCUCUGAAAUGCUCCGCCGACUCUCCCGGGGAUAGAAUCAACAUGAAACAAGCACAUGCAGAGUUGCAGAAAAUCAAACAUCGAUUUUCCCAAUGAGAUUCAAGUAAGCUAUUUUAAAGUUCUAUGUUAUUUCUAAAAGCAUAUUCAUAUCCCAAAUUUCUAUGGCAAAGUUAGCUAAUGAAGUCUUCUUCAUUUGGUGGCUUUGAUGAGGCAUGUAGUGUCGAAGAUUUUGAAGAGGCUGUAGAUGCUAAUUGGGGUGAGGCAGUGGAUAGUUGUGAGGUGGAUGACAUAAAGAAUGGAAAAUGUUGUUCUUUAUUAUUACUAUUGUACUUGUCUUUUAAUAAAAAAAUUCCUAAAAUGUAUGGAAUGCCUAAAUAAAAAAUUCGGCCCCCGUCAAAGUUCAGCCCCCCGAACUAAAUUCCUGACUCCGUCACUGGAUAUUCCUCUUUGUGGGGAAUAGUUAGUGAUGCUUAGUUGUUUAUAUUCUGGCCAACAGAACAAUAUUUGCAUUGACCAAAAGCUCACACUUUAAUUUAGAAGGUAUGCUAUAUCUGGAAUAAUUGUCUCUCUGUUUCUUCCUUUGCUUUAUCCAGUAGUAUUCUAUCUUUUCAAGAGCUUUAUUCCGGAGAUGCCGCGCAGGUCAUAUAAUAUGCUCACUUUGUCACACUGAACAUGAGGUUGGUUUUACUCAUUUUACUCUAUACUCAUUCAUCUUCAUGAAUAAGAAUUUGGAAACCUCCACACUACCUGCAUUGAAGCAUGGCUGCUAGAAGUCUAGAACUGUUCUGUCUCAGUUAAGCUGAAUAUAGUUACUAAUGUCAAACAUGUAUAUAGAAGUUGAAAACAUAAUACGAGAAAAUGGGGAAGGGAAGUUCAAAUAUGUCUUGGCCUGCUGGACUUGCAAAUGAGUUAGGCAAGAUUGGUCUUAUUUAUGGGUUGGGGAAGAGGUUGCCUGUUCUCAGAUUAAUAAUGUUUUAGCUGUAGUAUGAUGUGUUUUGGGGAUUUUCCUUCUUUUUCUCUAUCAAUCUCUUAUUUUGUUGGUUUGGGUGUGUUACUCAACAAGUUUGCAUAAAUUGUGGGGUGUGCAUGGGAAGAUACUAUAUAUUGUGGAACUCGCAAGCUGUAUGAUGCAUGAUGGUUGUGAGUAGGAAGUAUCUUCCUGUAUGCAUGCUGAUCUUUUGUUGAGUAAGAAGAAAAAGAUGGAUAGUAGUUGAUAACAGUGGGUAUUGUUGUUAGUAGAGUUCGCGUCCCAUUAUAAAUGUGUGGAGGAAAAUAAAGUGUUAUAUGGACCCUACUACUUUAAAUGGAGCUGGAAAUGAUAUUGUGAACAACCCAAAAUAGCAAAAGUGGAAACGAUAUCGUGGACGGAGGGAGUAUGUGGUUUGUUUUGCGUUCCUUAAACUAACUUCUACAGUAAUCUGCACAAAUCCAAUCUUAAUAUUAUCUUCUUGUUUUUAUGGCCUUAAUUAGUUUGCUUAGAUCAUCUUGUUGCUGAAGCGCACAAUGUUUCUAUAUAUUUCAUCACUGUUCUUGCCUAGCUGACUAAACGUGGUUUUUUAGUAUCAAUUUGGAGUUUUCGAUUGUUCGCGAGUUUUUCUUGUUUUUGUUUUGCAAGCUCACUAUAUUAUUGAAUGAUUUUUUUUUUGGGGGGGGGAGCAAUUAUGAUUCCUAUGGUAGGCUGAGACGAAAGGUCUUAAGAUAGCCGAGACGGAGGGAGUACUAUAAUUGAUAUGACAAUAGACAAAUAUUGACAAAAUCAUGAAUUUGGAUCCUUAAAUGGAGAUCGUUAAUGGCUCUCAUUUUAUUCCAUACUCAAUAUCGUGGCCGAAUAAUAUAAAUCGACAUAAAUUUAUACUAUAUUUAUUUGCAUAGGACCAUUUCCACUAAAUUUUUUUUAACAAAGAGGCCAAACCAAGGCCUCUCAAAGGGUUUAUGGUUUAUAAAUAAGUUGAAUUUGUGCACUGAAAUAAGUGAUCAAUUUGUUAGUUUCACAAAUUUAAGAAAAGUUAUAACUCUAUCUAGGAGUAUAAAUUUUAAGCCCAUCGAACACGUGCAUGCUAAACAAUCUUAUAAAUUGAAAAUUAAAUCAAACUUGAAUUCUUUUAAUGUAUCGAAUACUCAUGAAAUUUAAUAUGACCCUACUUAAUUACACACGUAAUUCCAUUGCAUCCCUAAUUACUACCUUUCAAGACAAACCUCAAGAAACACUUAUUAAGAACCUAAAGUUACUGUCUGAAACAUGAAGCUCCACUAUCAUUCAUGCCAUUUAGUCACCUAAGAAAAGUAUUAAGACUCACGGGGUGGUUUCAAUUCAGAUUCUAUAUAAAAAAAAUUGUAUUUCAAAUGUCUAUAGACUAUAGGUAUUCAAAUCAGAUUUUAAAAAGUCCUUAAAAGUCUGUUGGUAUACAAUUAUUUGUAGAUCUAAUCAAGUUAAAUGAUACUAAAAUUAAGUUGUAAGAGCCAGAAAAUUAGUACGGUUGAAUUGGAUAAGUAGUCAUAGGUUAACGGUUUGUUAAUGUUAUCUAUGUACCUCUGCAAUAUAUAUAUAUAUAGUGAUAUUAUGUAUGAGUGCGCUCACACUUACGGGGAAAAAAAUCCUUAUAUGAUGCGCUCAUACAUAACAAAAAAAAUAUCAUUAUUUAUAUAUAUCUAUUAUACAUAACUUUUUUUGCCGUUAUAAAAGAAUUCACAACUAUGAGCUCUUAAAUUAUUAAGUGUCAGAAACAAAAAUAUUUUAUAUUUUUCAAAAAGUUAUUUUAUACUAGUAUUAUCUAAAUAGUUUAUUAAAACUCGAUAUGUUAUAUCUUGUCAAUGACAUUUAACAUAAACAUAAAUUAAAAAUAGAAAAAAAAAAUUAUAAUUCUCCAUUCAAAAUACAAUAUGUAAAGAAAAGUUAAAUUGGCAACCCAAAUUAUCAACAAAUAAAAUCCAGCCCAUAUACAACAUGUUGAAAAUUCAACCCAAAAAACAGCCCCAAGUCCAACCCAUAUUAUAUAGUAGUAUAUUCCAUUUGUCGCAUUAAGACAACAAAUAAAUAAGAUACAUAAUUUCAUUAAUCAACACAUACUAUUUCAUUAAUCAACACAUACUGCAAUUCCAUUAAAAUAAAUACAACAGUUGGCAAAACCAAUGAACGUUAGAACACAUAUCAUGUUUAAUUGGUAUAUGAACUCAUCAUGCCCUUUUAAACUCCCCUCCAUCAGCUAUCAUAUUCUUUGUAAACUUAUUGCUUUCUUUUUUCAACAACAUGCUUUGUUUGCAAAUUUUGUGUAAACUGAUUUUAUAUAUAUACACCAAAGAAACAACCCCAUUCAUAUGCGAUAUUAUAAACUCAAAUGAGCAAAAGUUGAAUAUAUUUUACAACCAAUAUAAGCAGUACAUAUGUUUUCUUUUCAUUUAGCUGAGCUGGCCCAAUGUUCUUUUUUUUAUUUAAUUGGGCUGCGGUUUGUAAUAUUUAGCAUGGGCCGAUGAAUUUCAGAUUUUGGGCUGUGCAUAUUUGUGUUUAAACGGACCACCUUGAUUAUUUAAUUAGACUAUCAUUAAUUUAAUUAAUUCUUUUUAAAGUAUAAUUUGUAUAAUAAUAUUAUAUUAUUAUGUGCAUAUUUUAAGUAAUUAUUUAUUAUAUGUUUGAAGCAUGACAUAAAAUUGAAUUUGCACAGGUAGAAGUGUACGUAGAAGUAUGAUGUGGCUGCUUCUUAUCUCCAUUGUAUAGUUUUGAAGUGUGGAUAUACCUUUUUACUGAUUCCUGCUCACUUUAAAUUAUCCUUUUGCAAGUGGGACUUUUCUCAAUCCAAAGUUUGAUUCUAUAUAUCUGUUUCUAUAUAAUCAAUCGAGAUAUAAGGAUUUAGUUUGCAUUUCUAUAUCGAUCAAGUCUUGGUCUGCGUCUCCCUCUUUGUCUCAACUCUUCACCUUCGUCUUCGUCUUCGUCUGCGUCUUUGAUAGGAUAUUGCUCGGCUAUGACUACUUCGAGUGAGUCUAACUCCAAUUCAAAAGGAAUAAUAGAGAAAGCAGAUAAUUUCAUUCAUUCAAAAAAAUGCCCUUGUACAUACUCUCAUCUGCUAUUUAUUUGAUACGAGCCACAACGGCCUGCUCUGCAACAUGCAGGACUCCUAACAAACUAAGAUAUCCUAACAGCAGGUGGGGACCUUCAUCAAGGACUAUCAGGUGCUCCGCCCCAUGGCAAAGUCACGGAAACGGGCCGGCAUCUUUCGAUUGCGCGUGGGCCUACCCUCAGUGCGGAGGUCUUCCUCAUUCUGGACUUCUUCUUCAAGUUGGGCUACCACUUCAUUGGGCUUAGUCUGCCCCGAUCCAGUAGUUGUAUCAGUCUUUGUCUCAACUCUUCACCUUCGUCUUCGUCUUCGUCUCCGUCUCUGUCUUUGUCUCAACCUCAAGUCUUCGUCUUCGUUUUGUCUUCGUCUCAAACGGAAAAAACAAAAAAACAAAAAAGACGUCAAAAGGCACCACCCGUGAAGACUCUCAAGUCUUAUAAUAUUUGUGUAUAUAUGAUGAUUAUUGGAUGCAUUUAUUAGCGACUUAAUUAUCAUAAUACAUUCACAAUUUGCAGCCAUGGACAAAAAGUGGACUAUCUUUUUAGUAAAAACAAUAUUUUUAUAUAGUAUUAAUUAGAAAAGUGGACUAUCUUUUUGGAACAUCUCAAAAUGGAAUAAGGGACUAAAAUGGUGGGACGGAGUGAGUAUAAUUUGUGGAUCCCUUUCUUCACUCACUAACUCGUGGAUUCUUUCUUCAUUCACUAACCUAAUUAACCUUUUCCACUUUUCUUAAUUAUUUUUGGGCUUCUUUAUCCACUCACGACCUAAUGGUAAAAAUAGGACCGUAACUUUCAGAAUUUUUAGAAAAAGGACUAUAAGUUACGGAUUUUGAAAAUAAGGACUAUAAUUUUGUAUUCUCGUUUUAACAAUUAACAGUUAUAUUUUUUUUAGGAAAAUUAACAAUUAUAUUUGUUUUAUCUUAAUUAAUUUAAUAUCCUAAAAGAAAGCUACAUAUAUACGUUCAUUAUAAUGUUAAAAGACAUAUAUUAUUUCUUUUUUACAUUUAAUUAGAAGAAUAAAUUAUAAAAAANUAUGCCAUCAAUUUUGAAUAGAGAGAAGAGAUUUUGCAGUAUGGCAGAUUUGCAAGCAAGGAAGAAUUGAGUAAGCAGGAAUAUCUAAAGAUAUUUAAAGACAUUUUUUUUGUGAAGAAAACCUGAUGGCAUAUUUUUUUAUAAUUUAUUCUUCUAAUUAAAUGUAAAAAAGAAAUAAUACAUGUCUUUUAACAUUAUAAUGAACGUAUAUAUGUAGCUUUCUUUUAGGAUAUUAAAUUAAUUAAGAUAAAACAAAUAUAAUUGUUAAUUUUCCUAAAAAAAAUAUAACUGUUAAUUGUUAAAACGAGAAUACAAAAAAGAAACAAAAAAAUUUUUUGCAAAAAAGUUGACAAUAUGGCAGUCCACGUCAGCAACGGGCUCUACGUUGCAUCAAAAUCCCGAACAAUUAAUUUUGGGCCCGAAACAGGAGUGUAAAUGUUAAAAAAAAAUUAUAGUCCUUAUUUUCAAAAUCCGUAACUUAUAGUCCUUUUUCUAAAAAUCCUGAAAGUUACGGUCCUAUUUUUACCAUUAGGUCAUCCACUCACUAAAUAUACAACACAAAUUUUCUUAAAAUGCGUGUCAUCCUCAGGCGUGGACAAAGAGAGUAUUUGUUAUCAUACACAAUUAAAACAUACUUCCUCAGUUCUACUUUACUUGGCAUGGUUUUUUUUUUUGGAUCGUCCCAUCUAACUUGGCUUGUUUCAUUUUUUAGUAAUAAAAUUUUACUAUAUAAUAAAUAUGAAUCUACAUAUUUUACACUAUAUUAUUGUUAUUAUUAUUAUUAUUAUUAUUAUUAUUAUUAUUAUUAUUAUUAUUAAAAAAAUAAACUUUUUUUAGGCAUUCCCAUAUGCAUGGGAAUAGGCUAAUCCCAUAUGCAUGGGGGAGGGGAGGAAUGGCUAAUCCCAUAUGCAUGGGAAUAUGCAUUUCAUUGGGAAUGACGAUUCUAAUUAUAAAAACGGUACCAGCCAUAGGAUUGAGAAUUGACACAGGAAUCAUCAUUCCAUUCUUGCAUACCAGUCAUGCCCUUAUAUGUGAUUAGCAGGUACGGAGCUAAGCUAUCUUUACAAGUUUUUGAUUUUAAAUCCAAACUAUUAAUUUGCCGAUAAAAUAAUUUGAAUUUGAGGGUUACAAUCAAUUCCCUAUCAUCAAACUUUCGACCUCACAAAUUGAGGGGGAAAAACAAACAUUUUAAACUUUUAAUAACCUGUUCAUUUUAAAUUCAUUUUUAUGACUUUUAUAACAUAUUAAAGAUCUUCUGAAAACAACUUAAGAUGCGGAGUUUAAAUUUAUUUAAGGCCAUUAUCUUAGGGUUAUUUGCAAAAAUAGGCCACUAUUUUUCGGACUUGCAAAAAUAGGCCAAUUAUUUUAAUUUUGGUAUUUUUAGGCCACAUGUGUACCCAAUCAGGCUAUUUUGGGCCACAUUUUGACCCCAAAAAGUGGCCUAUAAAUGCUGAAUUGGGCUCAAAUGUGGCCUAAAAAUGCAAAAAACUAAAAUAAUUGACCUAUUUUUGCAAGUCCGAAAAAUAGUGGCCUAUUUUUGCAAAUAGACCUAAGAUAAUGACCUUAAAUAAUUUUAAACUCUAAGAUGUGCAUUGAAUAUUUUUCUCAUAAAUUAAAUUUGAUUAUGUUUAGAAAAUAAUUAAAAUUAUAAAGCUGUUUGGAUAUAAUUAAAUGGGGAGUGAUUUUUGGACACCGGGUGUCUUAGACACCUUCAUAAAAAAUCAGUUUUUGCUUGAUGUUUAAUAUUUAGUGAUUUGUCUAAAAUAUCAUUUCCAAAAAUAUAUUCAACCGAUUUUGCUAUUAUUUUUAAUUUUUAUAUUUUUUUAUAUAAAAAAUUAGUGAAUAUGGAAAAAAAUAUUAAAAAAUAUAAAAAUAAAAAAUAAUAAGAAAAUCGAUUGAAUAUAUUUUUGAAAAUAAUAUUUUAGACAAAUCACUAAAUAGAAAAAAACAAUCAAAUUAAACAUCAAGAAAAAACUGAUUUUUUAUGAUGAUGUCUAACCAAAAAUCUUUUCCCAUAAUUAAAUAUAUGCAAUUAAUUUAUUCAGUAAAGACGCUUUUGGACUGCUUUAAAUAUAAACUAAAGCAAAGAAUUCGAGUUUCCCCUUUUCUCUUUAGACCAUAUUACAGCUUUUUUAAAAGCUUUGGUUUAAUCGAUUAAUUUGCAAAAGAUGCACUUUAUUUUUUUGUCUUGUAUCAACUUUUAUUUUUCGGGAUAAUAUAUAAUGGACUAUAUAUGGUGUACCUUAUAUAUUUUUUUACUAGAGAAAGUAAAAAUUAGAAAACUUGAAUUCAUGAUAGGUGGAGUGGAAAUGAAAGAAAAGACUCGGAAAGAUUAGUUAGGAUGAUCCAUUUUCCAAAAGGUGAAAAAGGAGUGGAAAAAACAGAAAAACAUAGAUAGGUCCCACCACUACAAGUUUUCUAAGUCAAAAGGUUUAGAAAAAUAUUGAAAUUUAUGUUGUAUGAAUCGGAAUCAUGAUCAUUGCAUUAUAAAUUUAUAGAUAUAGGGUGUGUUUGCUUUUUAUCCUUCUAAAUGGAGGGAUAACAAAAAUUUGUGCCUUCACAUUUUACACAAAAGAGAAAUUCACUAUUUUUUUUUCCUUAUUUUUUUGGUGUGAUAAUAUUAUCCCUCCUUGAGGUGAAAAUAAGGAAGAAAAAAUGGUGAACUUCUCUUUUGUGUAAAAUGUGGGAUAAGAAAUUAGACAUUUAAAUGCAUAAAUUUUUAUUAUCCCUCAUUUUCCCAUCCAUCAAAGUGAACGCACCCAUAAAGAUUAAUAUAGCGUGCAAUAUUAUCAUAAUUGACAUAUUAUUAUAUUAAUAUAUAACACUCAAACGGAAAAACAAAAAACAAAAAAGCUAGACAUCAAAUUAAAGCCACAACCAUGAAGACUCUCAAGUCAAGCAAGUCUUGUAAUAUUUGUGUGUAUAUAUAUGAUGAUUAUUGGAUGCACAUAUUAGCGACUUAAUUAUCAUAAUACAAUCAUAAUUUGCAGCCAUGGACAAAAAGCUUUCUUGCAUUUUGCCUUGUGCAUUCCUAAUCACCAUAACCUUCCCAAUGCUUUCUUCUGAAGCCAAACAACCUUUGAGCCUUGCAACUGAUCAAACUGCCCUUCUUUCACUCAAACAUACAUCUCUUUUACUUGCAAUUAAUUGGACCAACUCCACCUCCGUCUGCAGCUGGAUUGGCGUCACUUGCAGCUUCCGCCACCACAGAGUAGUUGCCUUGAAUCUCUCCAACAUGGCUCUCUCCGCCACCAUUCCACCGCAGCUCGGACACCUCUCCUUCCUCGUCUCCCUCGACCUCACCAACAACCUUUUCCAUGGAGAUUUGCCUCAAGAGCUGUCUCUCCUUCGCCGUUUGAAGUUCAUAUCUUUCCGACUCAACAACUUCACCGGAGACAUCCCUCCGAUGUUGGGUCAGUUACCAAAAUUAGAGCACUUGUCUUUAAGCAACAACAGCUUCAUAGGUUCCAUCCCAAAAUCUCUCUCAAACCUCACAAACCUACAAUUUCUUGACUUAUCUUCCAAUUCUCUAAGUGGAGAAAUUCCAAAAGAGUUUGGGAGACUUCAAAGUCUACAAACUCUGUAUGUUGAAUCCAAUCAUUUAUCGGGUGCUAUACAAUCAGCCAUAUUCAACAUCUCGACCCUUGUAGUUAUAGCAUUGAGAUACAAUGAACUGAGUGGAAGUCUUCCGACAGACAUGUGUCGUAAUCUUCCAUUUCUUGCUCUCAUUCGUCUUUCUAGAAAUCGGCUGAGUGGUGCGAUUCCCACAAAUCUGUCCCAAUGUUCACGGCUUGAGGUGUUGAGCCUCGCAUACAACUCUUUUAGUGGGGAGAUACCUUCAGAAAUCGGCUACUUAACAUCUCUUCAGUAUUUAGCUCUUGGUGGUAACAAUUUGAAUGGUAUGGUUCAAAGUUCUUAUCACAUAAAUUUGUGUAAAUGAGAUUUUAUUAGUUUCAUGACACUUUUUUUGCAGGAAUACUACCACAUGAGAUUGGCCAUCUUCAGAGUCUGGUUACUUUUGGUGCUGAAAUCAAUCAGAUUGGGGGCUCAAUUGAUUUCAAUAUUUUCAUGAAUAUGUCUUCUCUGCAAACCUUAAUACUAUGGCGUAACAAAUUCACGGGGAACCUUCCAAGGGAUGUCGGGAAUAUUACCAUGCUAACAGUGUUACAACUCAAGGAAAACCAUUUAACAGGUACAACAGAGCAAUUUUCAUGUAAAUUGUCUGUUUAGCUACAAUUUUGUAAUCUCAUGUUUUGCAGGGAUUAUUCCCACUGAAUUUGGCCAACUUUACCAUUUGGAGACAUUAGAACUACAAUCGAACAGCUUGAGUGGUUCGAUUCCACAUGAGCUCUUUAACAUUUCAACUCUUCGGAUUCUUGCACUUACCAACAAUGCUCUGUCAGGGGUUCUUCCAACCCAUUUAUGCCAUGCCUCUCCCUUUCUUGAACAACUUUAUCUUGGCACAAAUUCUAUCACCGGAGCAAUACCCAACUCCAUCUCUAACUGUUCUCAACUCACAAUUCUCGCACUUUAUAAAACAAAUUCAGUGGUUAUAUACCUACUCAUCUCGGCAACCUAAGACUUCUUCAAGAUCUUCUACUGCAUAGAAACAAUCUUACCCAGCCACCAUCUUCUUCCUUCAUUACUUCAUUGACAAAUUGCAGGUCUCUAACUCAUUUGGAUAUUUCUUAUAAUCCUAUAUACAACAUCAUUCCAGCUUCUGUCGGGAACUUAUCUUCCUCACUUCAAACAUUCUAUGCCAGCAACUGCAAAUUCAAUGGCAACAUUCCUGAUGAAAUUGGCAAUUUAAGCAAUUUGAUGACAUUGGCUUUGCAAGGCAAUGAGUUAUCAGGUAAUAUUCCACUAACUAUAAGCCAUUUGCAUGAACUUCAAGGAUUACGUAUGUCUGAUAACAUGUUGGGAGGCUCAAUACCACAUGCUAUAUGUGAUCUAUUCAGCCUCAAUACUUUAGUUAUGAGCCAGAAUCAAUUUUCAGGCCCAAUUCCUAAAUGUCUUGGAAAUGUCUCUUCUUUAAGACAUCUUCUUCUAGAAUCCAACAUUUUGAAUUCAAGCAUACCAUCAAGCUUAUGGGGCCUAAAAGAUUUGAUCACUCUAGACUUGUCCUCAAAUUCAUUAAAUGGGUCACUACCUCUAGAGAUGAGUAACUUAGGAGCAGCGAUCUAUAUAAACCUAUCAAUGAAUCAGUUGUCAGGGUCAAUUCCGACGAAUAUUGAAAAGUUGCAGAAUUUGAUUAAUUUGUCUUUGGCAAAUAAUAGACUAGAAGGUUCUAUUCCUGUGUCUAUGGGAAAAAUGACCAGUUUGGCAAAUCUCGACUUGUCGUACAACAACCUCUCUGGUUCAAUUCCAAAGUCUUUAGAAGCACUCCAACACCUCGACUACUUUAAUGUCUCUUUCAAUAGUUUGAGUGGAGAAAUUCCUAAUGGAGGUUCGUUUAGAGACUUCACUAUGGAUUCUUUUAAGGGUAAUNNNNNNNNNNNNNNNNNNNNNNNNNNNNNNNNNNNNNNNNNNNNNNNNNNNNNNNNNNNNNNNNNNNNNNNNNNNNNNNNNNNNNNNNNNNNNNNNNNNNNNNNNNNNNNNNNNNNNNNNNNNNNNNNNNNNNNNNNNNNNNNNNNNNNNNNNNNNNNNNNNNNNNNNNNNNNNNNNNNNNNNNNNNNNNNNNNNNNNNNNNNNNNNNNNNNNNNNNNNNNNNNNNNNNNNNNNNNNNNNNNNNNNNNNNNNNNNNNNNNNNNNNNNNNNNNNNNNNNNNNNNNNNNNNNNNNNNNNNNNNNNNNNNNNNNNNNNNNNNNNNNNNNNNNNNNNNNNNNNNNNNNNNNUCAAUAGUUUAAGUGGAGAAAUUCCUAAUGGAGGUUCUUUUAGAAACUUCACUAUGGAUUCUUUUAAGGGUAAUGAGGCAUUGUGUGGAAUCCCCAAGUUCCAUGUCCAAAUUUGCUCUUCAAUUACUAAUCACAGAUCAAAGGAAAGAAGGUGGAACGAGCUUCAUUUAUUGUUUUCGGGGUUGUGGCUUUCAUCUCAAUUGUUUCUUUGGCCUUUAUAAUUGUCAAAAACAACGGAAGAUAAGACGACUAGAGAAGUUGAUGAGUUGAUAUUCAUUGUGCCGGAAAGAAUCUCUUAUUAUGAACUGCUGCAAGCAACGGAAAGAUUCGAUGAAAGCAAUUACUUGGCACUGGAGUCUUGCUCUGUUAUAAAGGAAUUCUUAACAAUGGGAAGGAUAUCGUUGUCAAGGUGUUUAAUAUGCAGACUAGAAGGAUUUCAAGAAUAUUUGAUGUCGAAUGUGAGAUACUACGUAGCAUUCGACACAGGAAUCUGACAAACGUCAUAAGCAGUUGCUCCAAUGAAGAGUUCAAGGCAUUAGUACUUGAAUAUAUGCCAAAGGGAAACCUUGAAAAAUGGUUAUAUUCCCACAACUAUUGCUUGAAUAUGAUGGAAAGAUUGAAUAUAAUGAUUGACGUUGCAUCUGCUUUGGAGUAUCUUCACCACGGUUAUUCAAUGCCCAUUAUCCACAGCGACUUGAAGCCUAGUAAUGUGCUGUUAGAUGAAGACAUGGUUGCCCAUGUAAGCGACUUUGGGAUAGCAAAGUUGUUAUGCGGUGGAGAUAGCUUUGUGUUAACCAACACGCUAGCAACAUUGGGUUACAUCGCUCCAGGUGAAGUUUCUCUAAAUAUAUUGAUUGCACUUCACUUUCAAUCAUUUAAUUAUUGUGUCUUCCUUACUGCAUAAAUGAUGAUUUUUGUUGUUCCAGAGUAUGGCUUGGAAGGGCUAGUUUCAACAAGGUGUGAUGUGUAUAGCUACGGGGUGAUGUUGAUUGAAACUUUUACGAGAAAAAGGCCUAGUGAUGAUAUGUUUUGCGGAGAUAUGAGCUUAAAGAGAUGGGUAGAAAUCUCACUUUCAGAUGAAGUGAUAGAUGCCAACUUAGUCAUGAAUUUGGAGGAAGAAAUGAUUGACAAGAAUAUGAAGUGUGUAUCAUCCAUACUCGAAUUGGCUUUGAAAUGCUCUGCCGACUCUCCCGGGGAUAGAAUCAACAUGAAACAAGCACAUGCAGAGUUGCAGAAAAUCAAACAUCGAUUUUCCCAAUGAGAUUCAAGUAAGCUAUUUCAAAGUUCUAGGUUAUUUCUAAGAUAAUAUUGUCUAUUACGAUUUAUUGAUUUUCCCAAUGAUAUUUGUGUUUCACAUAUCUUUCGUGAAGGGAACCAAGUUGUUGUCAUUAUGGCAAAUCCAAAUACUCCGACUGGUUGGUGGACUCAUGCUAUUCCCUUGAUUGAGGAAACCGUUCAAAAGGAUAUUCAUAUCCCAAAUUUGUAUCGCAAAGUUAGCUAAUGAUGUCUUAUUCGUUUGGUGGCUUUGAUGAGGCAUGUGGUGAGGUGGAUGACAUAAUGAAUGGAAGAUUUGGCUUGGUCCUUUGUUGGUUUUUGCUAUCAUUGUUAAUUUGUUCUUCUUGUUUCUGCUUUUNUUUUUCUCGUUGUAAUAGACGAAUACUCUUUUCCCUUUUUUGAUGUUUUUUCCAUUGGAUUUUCGUCAGAAAGAUUUUAACGAUGCUCAGCCCUUAGUUAGCGACUUUGUACUUUCAAGGGUUUGUUAGGUUUUCUUAUUCCAAAUAUAUAACGGACUUAGCAAAGUCAUGUUAUAUAGUUUGUUGAUAGAAAUUUUAUUUCUAUUUAUUAUCACUAUUAGUUAAGUCGUGAAUGUAUUCCGGCUUGUGAAGUGGACUUAAUCUAGAUAUUAUAACAGCAAAGCGAAUUAAAUCUUCGGAUUUAAUUUAGAAUUAUUUUACAGUCUAUCGAUUUUGGUAAGACAGGAAAACAGAUAUUGUAAUACGAGAUUUAUUAGAAUAGUCAGUUACAAACAUGCGAUGUUAGCAAACCCAAAAUAUAUUAUAGUAUGAGAUAUGGAAUGGCAAACACAGAAGGAUUUUAUUUCAUUGAUCACCUCAACCUUUUAUCACUUACAAUCAACUUUGAUUCCUACUCCCUACCAUCCUACUACACCAACUCCCAACAGCUCACUUUCCCAUCAGCUGCUCUCCUCUACAGCAAAUUUGCAGCCUCAGCCAUAUUGAGGUAGUUCUAGCUGGUUAUUCAGCCACUCUAGGAUGUCAAUCAGCCACCAAUCCAUGUUGCACUAAUCACUCAAAGAUAAUCCACUCACUCCAAUCCUUAAAGAAGCCAUGUAAUCACUCAUCUUUUCUAGUGAAUACAACUUCAAGAAUUUUGAGUGCAUUUUCAUUACUUUUUCAAUAUGAAAUCUUGAGCAGAGUAUAGUAUUCGUAUUAUAUUUAGCUCAAUUCGCUUCAAAUUCAGGUCCAUAUUCUCAUCCAUUGAGAAUAUAUAUAAUCGUCUAGCUCAUCAUCUUGAAUAUGAUGUCCUGCAGCACUCAAUUGGUCAGCAUAGCUACGCAUUCGAAGAAAGUAAUCAUCAACACUCAAUGAUCCUUUUUUCUGUGAAGGGAGCAUCUUUUUUAGUUGAAGCACUCGAGCGGAAAAAAAUUGGUUGCCAUAGCCAUGGCGAUAGGAUCGAACGAAGGAGCAAAUCAGUUUGGAGAGAUGCAAACAACAAAUCACCACACGAUUUGCAGACACUGAUUGAAUCCUUCAGAAAAAAAUUAAGCUCUGAUACCAUGUUGAGAUAAGCUAGGCUUUAGAAAGAAGAAACAAAUGAGCUGAGAUUUCAUUGAAAACCAACUAACUGUACAUGAAGGAGAAGCUAUCUAUAUAUACAAGAGAUAGAGAAGAAAGAUGACGGUUACAACAAAAAAGCUGAAUGCUAAACUAAUGCUAAACUACUUGACACGUGGCUUGUAGCUGAGUUGUUGUAUCCUUCACACCGCAUGCAUGCAUGCCUUCAUAUAAGUAUUCUAAUAGUAGCAGACAUCAAAUGCUGGCAAACUCUCAUUUUCAUGUACAAAAAAAAGAAAAGAAAAGAAAAAGGUACUGUUAUUGAUUCUCACCUAUUUUUAUGAUUUAAAAAAUUGUUAUCUGCAUUGUCCUAUAGAUAGGGGUGUAAUCGAGCCGAAUAGUGUCUUGCUCAAGCUUGGCUUGUUUAGCUAAUCGAGUUGUUUGCUUAAUUAUCGAUUGAGCUUUAAUCGAGUCGAAUACAGUGCCAAGCCUAAUCGAGCUUUUUAAAUUUAAAUUUUUAUUUAAAAUUUUAGUUAUUUUCCUAAUACAUAAGUUAAUUUUUAAAUAUAUAAGGUAUUUUAUUCACAAAAAUAUAAUAUAUUUACUAUUUUCUUGUAAAUAAAUGAUGUUAAUUAGAUACUUAAUCCAAAUAUUAGUAAAUAUAGUAUAAAAUAUAAUAAGACAUUUAAUGAAUAAUCUUACAUUUUUAAGCUAAAUCACUUAACGAGCUUGUUCACGAGCUAAUAAGCCGAGUAUCGUCAUGCUCAAGCUUGACUUGUUUAGCUAAACGAGUUGUUCAUUAAGUUACCGAUCGAGCUUUUAUCGAGUCAAAUGUCGAAUUGCUCACGAGUAGCUUGGCUCGUUUACAGCCCUACGUACCUGUAGAUAUGGGUGGAGGUUUGAUACUACAAAUUAAUUCUCAGCACUUUUCUAUUUUGUUUACAUUUUCUUGGGCUUUGCUGAUAGUCGAAAUAUUGUGCUCUAUUGUGGAAGAAUAUACCAAAACAUGAAGCAUAUAAUAGAAAACGUGAAUUUUAGGGGCUAUUAUAAUAAGUUGUAUGUUGAAAAUUUAAUUUAGGAGUUGUAAGGAUAAAACAAUACAAUCAUAAUUUUUUUUAUAAUUUUUUUUAAAAUAAAGGGCUAUGGUGAAAAAAAUUGGGGUUUGUAUUUAAAUUUACCCUUAUUUUAAUUGGGCCUUAUGAUUUUUCUUAUAUUUCGAGCCCAUCGAUUUUUUUAUUUAUUUAAUUGGACUUGUUACUCCUUUUGGGCCGAUGACUGGGCCUCCAGAUUUACUUAUUUGGGCCUGUUUAGUGCAGACCAUUAUUAGAAAGUAAAAUAGUGAUGUUGCUCAACCUCCAUCCAUAUUCAUAUGUGGUCGCAAAAAUGGAACAUGACAUCCAACGGCCCAGAUUCAGCGCCACUCCCCAAGAUCCAACCCACAGCCGUCCGAUGCAAAUCUGCAAUCACCAAUUAGAAAGCAGCGCCAUUAUAAGUGAUUGGUGCCGAGAUCUAAGGAGGACUUGACUCAAACGGAAAAAACGUACAAAAAACAAAUAACACAUAUAAACCCGUGUCAUAAGGUCUGCCGUGGUUUUGCAGAGGAAAAGGACGCCGUUGGGGGUAUUCGGGAAGAACUUAUAUAAUAUCUCGGGAGUCCCGAAUACCGUCCUCAUCAAAUAUUGUAUCAAAAGGACAAAUAUAAGUAAGCAUCAAAAUUUCAUAAUUUCCAAAAAUAUACUAUUAUAGGAGCAAAUUAGUCAUAAAAUCAUAUAAUUCAAAAUACAACUGGGUAAAAAAUAUUGAUCAGAUUAAGUCAAAAGUGGGUGAUAUUAUAUAUUAAUAAAUUAAUUUUAAUUAAUAUUUUAAUGAUUUUUUUAAGUAUUAUUUUUUUAUGAAAAAGUUGUAAUUUGNNNNNNNNNNNNNNNNNNNNNNNNNNNNNNNNNNNNNNNNNNNNNNNNNNNNNNNNNNNNNNNNNNNNNNNNNNNNNNNNNNNNNNNNNNNNNNNNNNNNNNNNNNNNNNNNNNNNNNNNNNNNNNNNNNNNNNNNNNNNNNNNUUUCAAAUAUGCUAUCACCAUGUUCGUCAUCUCCAACCCCUUAAUAAAACGAUAAUACUAAAAAGAAAGAAAAAAAUUACCAAAAAGUUGACAUGGCACGGCCACGUCAGCAACGGGCUUUAGGUGGCACCAAAAGCCCGAAUAAUUGAUUUUGGGCCCGAAAUAGAGUAUAAAUGUUUUAAAAAAAAGUUAUAGUUCAUUUUCAAAUUAUGUAAUAUAUAGUCCUUUUUCUGAUAAUCCUGAAAGUUACGGUCCUAUUUUAACCAUUAGGUCCAUUCAGCAGGAAAACAUAAGCAUUAGCUAUUAUUUUCUAAAAAAUACAUAAAAAGGACAUGUAGGCUCUAAAUUGAUUAAAGGUGCUUGAAUUCUACUUAUUUAAUAAAGACUAGUGAAAAUAACUAACCUUCCUCCAUGUUGAUACUGUUUUAAUCGUUGUCUUAAUUUCAAACAUCAAAUCCAUAGUCAUUUACAAUACCAAAGGGCUAUAGCCAACAUAUAAAAUUAUUGUCUUAAAAAAAUAAAUAUAAUAUUAAAAGUGGAAUGUAUACUGGUGGCCUCCUAGCGGCAGUUGGAUAAAAGUAAAAACUGAUGGUUCGGCCUUGGGAGCUCCGUUCUUAUUUCUGCGGGGGCGUCUUUCGUGAAAAGUGGAGUCACGUUAGAGGAUGUUUUCAUGUGAAAGGUGGCAAGGGUUUGCUUUCGAAGCUCAGUUAUUGGCGAUUACUACGGCUAUAUAUUGCUAUCGCUCAUUCGCGUGGCUGGUAUCAACUUUGGGUAGAAACGGAUUCUUCCUACGUUGUACGUCUCUUGGAAACUAGAUCGAAUGAUGUGCCAUGGCGCUUUGUGGCGCCUUGGCAGCGUAUUCUUGCAUACAGACUUCCAACUUCGGUGAGGGUAAUGCGGCAGCCAAUAUUAUGGCAAAUAAUGAUGGGGAGGAGGGUUGGUGGCCUUAUGCUAUCGACGUUAUUAAACAGGCGGUCUCGAGAGACAUGUCUUGCCAUAGCUUUAUUCGUUGUAAAUGAUUUGGUUCUUAUCUUUAUUCAUGCUCGUUUCGACCUCUUCUGUCAUGGAUUGGAUCGUGGGUAUGGGGCAUGCAGCGGCGGCCAGAGGUAAGUGGGGUUUUGGUCUAUGUACGCUUCUUCAGCAUUUCGUCGAGCACAUGGCGUGCAUCUACCAGAAUGGUCUGUCACAGCCCCUCGUCAAAUUUUCCAACCAUGGAAUCAGAGGUCAUGAUUAUUACUAAUCCUCGUUUGAAUGAUACACAAUACUAAUAGUAUGAUAGAGCACAAGUCAUAUAUAUAAAAUAAAAUAUCGAUUAUUACUAAUCAAAGUCAGAACAAUAUAGAUUUUUUGUAUUUCUCAAGUUGUAUUUCUUAAUCAUUGAAUUCAGCCCAUCGCCUAUUCGACCAAAUUACUCAACCAAUUCCGGUUUCAAGAUCAUGAUUAAUUUCUAAAUUUCGAUUCAGACAUGGCAUCUGCAUCUGCGAGAUGUUGCUCGUCAAUCUCCGGCCAUCCAAUCCGCGCUCUAGCUCAUUCUAGAUCCACUCUUUAUUCUUUUAAGGCCUUCACGGCUUCACCGUCAGAGUUAUUAUAACGAGAAUAAUGUUUACUUUUUCUUUCCAAACUUUCCCUUGGAACGUUCAGAUUUUCUGAUCUCAUUUCUUGAGCUUUACGACUUUCCAUCAUUUUCUUAAGCUGGGCGUGACUACGCGUUGUAUGCCGAUCGAUUUCCAUCACCGGAGAACAGUUCCGACGAGCGAUUUGCAGAGAUUCGUGGCUAAUGGCUAUGGCUGUAGCCUAUAGAGCAAAAUUGUAACUUCAUAAUUAUUUUAUAUUAAGGGAUACAAAGAGUAAAAUGGGGGUUAUGAAUAGAAUCACCCUUAAAUGAUGGAUCUUCAAGUCCAUUUAUUUUUUAAGUUGGGCUGGACCUAAUUGAUUGCUACUUUUAAAAGUAUUUUGGCUAAAUUCUUUUAAGCCCAUUACAUGUAUUAUUACGCAUAUUUAUACAACUAUUAAAAUUAUUUUCUUCACUAUAUACCAGAUAUUAGGAAUUGUUUUAACACAAAGAUUUGCUUGAACAGGGUGUCUCCACAUAGCCCUCUUUCUCUUAUAAAUGUUGUAUUGAUUUGCUGAACUGGAGAAAAAAUUUCACGCUCCUUCCCAAAUUCUUCUUCAUCAUUCUGCAGAAAGAUAUAAACUGCAUUUAUGUGCAGAUAUCAUAAUUUUCUUUUACAUCCUCCAAAACUACUUUCAUUCGACUCUAUCAUUUAAACUUGAACAGCUUGAGUGGUUCAAUUCCACAUAUAAUAAAAUAAAAAAAAAAUUGGGCCCCUAAUAAUAAUAAUAAACAUAAGAGGAUAUAAAAUUUUUUAGGCGCCUGAAAAUUAUGGACACUGGGCGGUCGCCCUCAGAGACGGCCCUACACGGGGGGCGUACUAGUUAAGAAAUUGAUAGAGUCAAAUGAAAACUAAAUGUUGAUGACUUGUUCCUAUCUUGAAUAAGCAACGAGGCGAUGUAUUGACUAAUUUUAGGGUUUUAGCUGACAAUAUUGACAAUUUCCCAGCUUCAGCACUUAGUAGAUAUAAUGAAUGAGCCUCUUGAAGUUGAGGUCCUACAUAUGUCGUAGCAUCAAGAUUUUAACUGUUUUCAAACACUUGCUUCACAAAUUAAUAACUAUCAAAUGAUUUUGCUUAGAUCGGAAUAAUGUAAAACCUAUAGCUAAAUAUAAAACUUAUUAUUGGAAUAUAACAUGAAAUCUAAAACAUGUACACUUCUUGGCUGCUUCUUAUCUACACUAUAUAGUUUUCAAGUGUGGAUAUACCUUUUUACUGAUUCCUGCUCACUUUAAAUUAUCCUUUUGCAACUCGGACUUUAAUUUCUCAAUCCAAAGUUUGAUUCUAUAUAUCUGUUUCUAUAUAAUCGAUCAAGUCUUCGUCUGCGUCUGCGCCUCCGUCUCAACACUUCACCUUCGUCUUCGUCUCCGUCUCUGUCUUUGUCUCAGUGUCUUUAAGUGAUUGGGGCCAACAUUUGUAUGGACUUGACUCAAAAGCAACACCCAUCAAGACUCUCAAAGUCAAGCAAGUCUUGUACGUAAUAUUUGUGUAUAUAUAUAUUAUGAUUAUUGGAUGCAGUUAUUAGCGACUUCAUUAUCAUAAUACAAUCACAAUUUGCAGCCAUGGAGAAAAAGCUUUAUUGCAUUUUGCUGUAUGCAUUCCUAAUUACCAUAACCUUCCAAAUGCUUUCUUCUGAAGCCAAAGCCAAACAACCUCUGAGCCUUGCAACUGAUCAAACUGCCCUUCUUUCACUCAAACAUACAUCUCUUUUACUUGCAACUAAUUGGACCAACUCCACCUCCGUCUGCACCUGGAUUGGCGUCACUUGCAGCUUGCGCCACCACAGAGUAGCUGCCUUGAAUCUCUCCAACAUGGCUCUCUCUGCCACCAUUCCACCGCAGCUCGGACACCUCUCCUUCCUCGUCUCCCUCGACCUCACNGAGCUGUCUCUCCUUCGCCGUUUGAAGUUCAUAUCUUUCCGACUCAACAACUUCACCGGAGACAUCCCUCCGAUGUUGGGUCAGUUACCAAAAUUAGAGUACUUGAAUUUACGCAACAACAUAUUCAUAGGUUCCAUCCCAAAAUCGCUCUCAAACCUCACAAACCUACAAUUUCUUGACUUAACUUCCAAUUCUCUAAGUGGAGAAAUUCCAAAAGAGUUGGGAAGACUUCAAAAGUCUACAAACUUGAAUUUAAGCAAAACAGCUCACAGGUGCCAUACCAAAAGCCAUAUCAAACCUCACAAACCUACAAUUUCUUGACUUAUCUUCCAAUUCUCUAAGCGGAGAAAUUCCAAAAGGGUUGGGAAGACUUCAAAGUCUACAAACUCUGUCUGUUCAACAUAAUCAUUUAUCGGGUGCUAUACCAUCAGCCAUAUUCAACAUAUCGACCCUUGUAUCUAUGGGCAUUACAUACAAUGAAUUGAGUGGAAGUCUUCCAACAGACAUGUGCCGUAAUCUUCCAUUUCUUGCUGGGAUUUAUCUUUCUGCCAAUCAGCUGAGUGGCGCGAUUCCCAAAAAUCUAUCCCAAUGUUCAGGGCUUGAGGUGUUGGGCCUCUCUUACAACUCUUUUAGUGGGGAGAUACCUUCAGAAAUCGGCUACUUAACAUCUCUUCAGUAUUUAGCUCUUGGUGGUAACAAUUUGAAUGGUAUGGUUCAAGUUCUUAUCACAUAAAUUUGUGUAAAUGAGAUUUUAUUAGUUUCAUGACACUUUUUUUGCCAGGAAUACUACCACAUGAGAUUGGCCAUCUUCAGAGUCUGGUUGAGUUUGGUGCUGAAUUCAAUCAAAUUGCGGGCUCAAUUGAUUUCAAUAUUUUCAUGAAUAUGUCUUCUCUGCAAAACAUAAAUCUAUGGCGCAACAAAUUCACGGGGAACAUUUCAAGGGAUGUCGGGAAUAUUACCAUGCUAACAAAUUUAUACCUCGAUGAAAACCAUUUUACAGGUACAACAAAGUAAUUUUCAUGUAAAUUGUCUGUUUAGCUACAAUAUGUGUUUUUGAAAUCUCAUGUUUUCCAGGGCUUAUUCCCACUGAAUUUGGCCAACUUUCCCAUUUCGAGAGAUUACAAUUAGACUUGAACAGCUUGAGUGGUUCGAUUCCACAUGAGCUCUUUAACAUUUCAACUCUUCGGAUUCUUGCACUUGACAACAAUGCUCUGUCAGGGGUUCUUCCAACCCAUUUAUGCCAUGCCUCUCCCUCUCUCGAAGAACUUUAUCUUGGCAAUAAUUCCAUCAGUGGAGCAAUACCAAACUCCAUCUCUAACUGUUCUCAACUCACAAUUCUCUCACUUGCCCAAAACAAAUUCAGUGGUUAUACACCUACUCAUCUCGGCAACCUAAGACUUCUUCAAAGUCUUCAACUGCAAAGAAACAAUCUUAUCCAGGCACCAUCUUCUUCCUUCAUUACUUCAUUGACAAAUUGCAGGUCUCUAACUGAUUUGUCAUUUGGUAAUAAUCCUCUAAAUGGUGUCAUUCCAGCUUCUAUCGGGAACUUAUCUUCCUCACUCGAAGCAUUCUAUGCCUCCAACUGCAAAUUCAGUGGCAGCAUUCCUGUUGAAAUAGGCAAUUUAAGCAAUUUGAUGACAUUGGAGUUGUCAGCAAAUGAGUUAUCUGGUAAUAUUCCACUAACUAUAAGCCAUUUGCAUGAACUUCAAGGAUUAGAUCUUCAAGAUAACAUGUUGGGAGGUUCAAUACCACAUGCUAUAUGUGAUCUAUUCAGCCUUAAUGCUUUAGUUAUGAGCCAUAAUCAAUUUUCAAGCCCAAUUCCUAAAUGUCUGGAAAUGUCUCUUCUUUAAGAAUCUAUCUAGACUCCAACAUUUUGAAUUCAGCAUACCAUCAAGCUUAUGGGGCCUAAAAGAUUUGACCUCUAGACUUGUCCUCAAUUCAUUAAAUGGGUUCUUACCCAAGAGAUAAGUAACUUAGGAGCAGCAAUAUAUAUAAACCUAUCGAUGAAUCAGUUGUCAAAGUCUAUUCCUAGCACUAUUGGGAAGUUGCAGAAUUUGAUUAAUCUGUUUUGGCAAAUAAUAGACUAGAAGGUUCUAUUCCUGUGUCUAUGGGAAGCAUGAUCAAUUUGGCAAAUCUCGACUUGUCGUACAACAACCUCUCUGGUUCAAUUCCAAAGUCUUUAGAAGCACUUCAACACCUCGACUACUUUAAUGUCUCUUUCAAUAGUUUAAGUGGAGAAAUUCCUAAUGGAGGUUCUUUUAGAAACUUCACUAUGGAUUGUUUUAAGGGUAAUGAGGCAUUGUGUGGAAUCCCCAAGUUCCAUGUCCAAAUUUGCUCUUCAAUUUCUAAUCACAGAUCAAAGAGAAAGAAGGUGGAACGAGCUUCAUUUAUUGUUUUCGGGGUUGUGGCUUUCAUCUCAGUUGUUUCUUUGGCCUUUAUAAUUGUCAGAAACAAAAGGAAAGAUAAGACGACUAGAGAAGUUGAUGAGUUGAUAUUCAUUGUGCCGGAAAGAAUCUCUUAUUAUGAACUGCUGCAAGCAACGGAAAGAUUCGAUGAAAGCAAUUUACUUGGCACUGGGAGUUCUUGCUCUGUUUAUAAAGGAAUUCUUAACAAUGGGAAGGAUAUCGUUGUCAAGGUGUUUAAUAUGCAGCUAGAAGGUAUUUCAAGAAUAUUUGAUGUCGAAUGUGAGAUACUACGUAGCAUUCGACACAGGAAUCUGACAAGCGUCAUAAGCAGUUGCUCCAAUGAAGAGUUCAAGGCAUUAGUACUUGAAUAUAUGCCAAAGGGAAACCUUGAAAAAUGGUUAUAUUCCCACAACUAUUGCUUGAAUAUGAUGGAAAGAUUGAAUAUAAUGAUUGAUGUUGCAUCUGCUUUGGAGUAUCUUCACCACGGUUAUUCAAUGCCCAUUGUCCACAGCGACUUGAAGCCUAGUAAUGUGCUGUUAGAUGAAGACAUGGUUGCCCAUGUAAGCGACUUUGGGAUAGCAAAGUUGUUAUGCGAUGGAGAUAGCUUUGUGUUAACCAACACGCUAGCAACAUUGGGUUACAUCGCUCCAGGUGAAGUUUCUCUAAAUAUAUUGAUUGCACUUCACUUUCAAUCAAUUAAUUGUGUCUUCCUUAAUUACUGCAUACAUCAUGAUUUUUGUUGUUCCAGAGUAUGGCUUGGAAGGGCUAGUUUCAACAAGGUGUGAUGUGUAUAGCUACGGGGUGAUGUUGAUUGAAACUUUUACGAGAAAAAGGCCUAGUGAUGAUAUGUUUUGCGGAGAUAUGAGCUUAAAGAGAUGGGUAGAACUCUCACUUUCGGAGAUCCCAUAUGAAGUGAUAGAUGCCAACUUAGUCAUGAAUUUGGAGGAAGAAAUGAUUGACAAGAAUAUGCAGUGUGUAUCAUCCAUACUUGAAUUGGCUCUGAAAUGCUCUGCCGACUCUCCCGGGGAUAGAAUCAACAUGAAACAAGCACAUGCAGAGUUGCAGAAAAUCAAACAUCGAUUUUCCCAAUGAGAUUCAAGUAAGCUAUUUCAAAGUUCUAUGUUAUUUCUAAAAGGAUAUUCAUAUCCUAAAUUUCUAU